UGUGUAUGAAGCCCUUAGAUGAUGUACUCC
rnacentral:piRNA from 1 species